UGGCAGAGUGGUUAAGCAUUUGGCUGCUAACCAAAAAGUCAGAAGUUCAAAUCCACU
rnacentral:tRNA from 1 species